UACGAAGGGGGCUAGCGUUGUUCGGAAUUACUGGGCGUAAAGCGCGCGCAGGCGGCUUUCCAAGUCAGGGGUGAAAUCCCAGAGCUCAACUCUGGAAUUGCCUCUGAGACUGUGAGGCUUCGAGUACGGGAGAGGUGAGUGGAAUUCCCAGUGUAGAGGGGAAAUUCGUAGAUAUUGGGAAGAACACCGGUGGCGAAGGCGGCUCACUGGCCCGUUACUGACGCUCAUGCGCGACAGCGGGGGGAGCAAACAGG
rnacentral:rRNA from 1 species